GGGGAUGUGGUGAAAUUGGUAGACACGCGAGCCUUAGGUGUUCGUUCGCAAGAGUGUGGGUUCGAGUCCCUCCAUCCCUA
rnacentral:tRNA from 1 species